rnacentral:rRNA from 1 species
UGGGGAAUUUUGGACAAUGGGGGCAACCCUGAUCCAGCAAUGCCGCGUGUGUGAAGAAGGCCUUCGGGUUAUAAAGCACUUUUGUCCGGAAAGAAAUCGCGCUGGUUAAUACCUGGCGUGGAUGACAGUACCGGAAGAAUAAGCACCGGCUAACUACGUGCCAGCAGCCGCGGUAAUACGUAGGGUGCGAGCGUUAAUCGGAAUUACUGGGCGUAAAGCGUGCGCAGGCGGUUUUGUAAGACAGGCGUGAAAUCCCCGGGCUUAACCUGGGAAUUGCGCUUGUGACUGCAAGGCUAGAGUGCGUCAGAGGGGGGUAGAAUUCCACGUGUAGCAGUGAAAUGCGUAGAGAUGUGGAGGAAUACCGAUGGCGAAGGCAGCCCCCUGGGACGUGACUGACGCUCAUGCACGAAAGCGUGGGGAGCAAACAGGAUUAGAUACCCUGGUAGUCCACGCCCUAAACGAUGUCAACUAGUUGUUGGGGAUUCAUUUUCUCAGUAACGUAGCUNACGCGUGAAGUUGACCGCCUGGGGAGUACGGUCGCNAGANUA